UAUAUAUAUAUAUAUAUAUAUAUAUAUAUAUAUAAAAUAAUAAAGGAGAAUUCCACAGUCAUCCACCUCAUCUUUUAGAAUUUUAGACUGGAGCAAAUUAUGACUCGUGGCAAUCUCUUUACUCAUAAUUGAAAGUCGGUUUCUCUCUGAAUGGGCUUGUGUCAACUGAAAAACUAAAUGGGUUUAACUUUUAUCAGUCUGGUCCAAGUGUUAUUACGUUUCUUCCCUAUCGAUGCUCGACUUGCGGAGAACCACCGUGUCUCUUCAUAUUUCACAGCCUCCAGACCACUUUUGUAUAAUUCCACUUCCUGGCAUUAAAUUGGCUUCAUCUUUUUUCAGACUAAACGAUUGAAGCUCCGCCUAUAUAUGAACACAAGCGUUUUGGUUUGAACCAAUAUCUUCAAUGCUCUUAGCUCAACUAGAAAUAAAUUUAUUUAAUCAUCUCCAUUCGAUUAUAGGUAUUGGCACUACCAGAGGCCUCGCCUCUUCUCACUUUCUAUCCGUUGAAAGAUUUUCCGACUAUCACUCCACGGUCGAGUUAUUGCAGUCGUGGGGAUCAAUAACCUCAAUGGCAAAGCUUUGUAUAUCCUCAAUGUGGUUGCUUCUGUCGGGCCCGGUUCAUGGAUGUUCCUUCUCUCACUCUCCAAGGUCUUUCCCAAAUUGAAGAUGUGAGUUCUGCGUGUAUGUUUUGGAAUACUCAUACUAUUCAGCUUUUAAGUGUUGCUCUCCACGAUUAAUUGGGCUAUUUGUAAGGCUAUUGAUCUGCUGGAACUUCUAAAGAUAGAAGAGGAAAUGCUUUCCGCACAAUCAAGGAAAACAGUUAAAGUUAUUGCUUUCUUUACAUCGCAAAUACCUCUUUGUUAAGCAUAAAAACUAAGAAAGUGUUACUUAAAUCCCAUAAUUUGAAUGGGGAAGCUAAUUUUUUUUCAGUGUGCUCUUGAUGUUCGCACAUAGAAAGCUGAAAUCUGUGGCAUACAGAUACUGCUAAGAGGCAAUACUCUAGACCGGCACAACCAAUCACUUUUGCCACAUUUGCACAAGAUGUGUUACAAGGGAGUGCUCAAGUAUCCAGGUUCACGAACAGAAGAACCAUCCUCUUAGUGUAUCAUCGUUGAUGGAGCUCUUUCCACACAGAGAGAGAGAGGAUGAUAGCUCAGAUUUCCAUCCCAAGCAAACACAAAAUCAUACUCAUUGCUAAACUUAUACCCUUUCUGAGAUUACAAAAAAGGUGAUUCAACUUUGAGAAGAAAGGAAGCACGUCAUGGUGCAAUGAUAACCCUUUGAGAAGAGAGGAAGAAGACAAAGAAGAUAAUGCCGAAGACGAAGAAGCUGUGAUGAAAGCUAGAGCUGUCGAUGAUUGGAAGGAUUAUAAUCCAUGUCGUGCAUGUAACCAAAAACUCACAACUUGUGACUAAGAAGAUUAUAGACUGAUAUUUAACACACUGUUUCAUUUCCAUUCUUCGAAUCUUUGACCUUUUUGGGUUUUUGAGAGACAAACCAACUACCAUUAAAGCACAGCUGUUGUUAUACAAGUUAUGUGACCUCUAAUACAUAUUUUCUUUCUUUUUUUUUUCUCAUA